UGCAGUUUUGCUUCCCAUGGAGCUUCGAGGAGCCCCAGCAAGAGCUUGCUCAACAGAGAGAAGACACAGGUGAUAGGAACACCAGGGCAAUUUGCAAAACGCUGUGCUGACAGAAGGAUGCUGGUACCUGUUUGAGAACCCAGGCUCUGGGCUGAGGCCGUAUCUCCAGCAAAGGUGGGUUGGAAAGGAGCCCCUGGCGAGCUCAGCUUGAGCCAUGGCCUCUGCUUGCAUCUCGACGCUUGCGAUUCUCUUUACACUGAGCGGACUGAGAGCCCAGUCAGUGACUCAGCUGAAAGAGCCGAUCACUGUCGCCGAAGGGGAGCCACUGACUGUGAAAUGCACCUAUUCACUUUCUGGGACCCCUUAUCUCUUUUGGUAUGUCCAGUAUCCCAACCAAGGUCUCCAGUUCCUUCUGAAAUACAUCGCAGGGGACAACCUGGUUAAAGGCAACUACGGUUUUGAAGCUGAAUUUAAUAAGAGCCAAACCUCUUUCCACCUGAAGAAAGCAUCUGUCCAAGGGAGCGACUCUGCAUUGUACUUCUGUGCCGUGACAGACACAGUGGUGGGGGCUGUAGGGAUCGCUGAAUACAAACCUCUGAGUACAGAAAAAAUGUUUUCCUGA